GAUGAAUGCUGGCGGCGUGCCUAACACAUGCAAGUCGAGCGGCAGCGAGUUUUACACUGAAUUCUGGAAGCUUCUGAGUAGUACAGAAGAUUUAUUCAAGAGUUUUGUGUAAAAUGUCGGCGAGCGGCGGACGGCUGAGUACGCGUAGGAAUUUGCCCCAAAGUGAGGAAUAACUGCCCGAAAGGGUAGCUAAUGCCGCAUAUGGUCUUCGGAUUAAAGCCUUCGGGCGCUUUGGGAGAAGCCUGCGUUGGAUUAGGUAGUUGGUAGGGUAAUGGCCUACCAAGCCGACGAUCCAUAGCUGGUCUGAGAGGAUGAUCAGCCAGACUGGAACUGAGACACGGUCCAGACUCCUACGGGAGGCAGCAGUGAGGAAUCUUCCACAAUGGGCGAAAGCCUGAUGGAGCAACGCCGCGUGAAGGAUGAAGGCCUUCGGGUUGUAAACUUCUUUUAGGAGUGAAGAAUAUGACGGUAACGCAUGAAUAAGCACCGGCUAACUACGU
rnacentral:rRNA from 1 species